GACGAACGCUGGCGGCGUGCUUAACACAUGCAAGUCGUACGGUAAGGCCCUUUCUGGGUUACCCGAGUGGCUAACGGGCGAGUAACUCGUGAGUAACCUGCCUACCACUUUGGGAUAACUCUCGGUAACUGGUGCUAAUUCUUACUACGUGCUCCUGCUUCUUGCUUGGCGUUUGACAGCUCCGUCGGUUUUGGUUAGUCUCACGGCCUAUCAGCUUGUUUGUGGGGUAGUGGGCUACCACGGCUGCGACGGGUAGCCGGCCUUGGAGGGUGAACGGCCACAAUGGGACUGAGGUACGGCGCAGAAGCGUACGGGAGGCAGCAGAGGGGAAUAUGGCACAAUGGGGGCAAGCCUGAUGCAGCAGCGCCGCGAGCGGGAUGACGGCCUUCAGGAUGUAAACCGGUUUCAGCAGGGAAGAAGCAUUUUGUGACGGUACCUUAAGAAGAAGCACCGGCUAACUACGUG
rnacentral:rRNA from 1 species